UCAAACUUGGUCAUUUAGAGGAAGUAAAAGUCGUAACAAGGUUUCCGUAGGUGAACCUGCGGAAGGAUCAUUACUGAAGUUGCUGGGAGAUGUUGCUGGCUUUUUAAAAAGCAAGUGCACAUUUGAUUAUUUAUUCAUAACUUUCCUGUGCAUUUUGUGUAGAUUUUAAACUAUUUAUCGAUAUAAUUCGGUUAGAGAUCUGCUGUGUAAAGACCAGCUUUUCUUGUAUUUAAAAUCUGCAAGUUUUCUAUACACUCUUAUAUUAUAUAUGGCAUACUUUUUAAUAAUCAUAUACAACUUUCAACAACGGAUCUCUUGGCUCUCGCAUCGAUGAAGAACGCAGC
rnacentral:misc_RNA from 1 species